rnacentral:piRNA from 1 species
UGAAGUUCUUCGCGGAGUGUGACCAGCCUU